rnacentral:rRNA from 1 species
GGAGUAGCAAUACAACUGGUGGCGACCGGCGCACGGGUGAGUAACGCGUAUGCAACCUAUUUAUCAGAGGGGAAUAACCCGGCGAAAGUCGGACUAAUACCGCAUAAAACAGGGACACCGCAUGGUGAUAUUUGUUAAAGAAAUUCGCUGAUAGAUGGGCAUGCGUUCCAUUAGGUAGUUGGUGAGGUAACGGCUCACCAAGCCGACGAUGGAUAGGGGAACUGAGAGGUUGGUCCCCCACACUGGUACUGAGACACGGACCAGACUCCUACGGGAGGCAGCAGUGAGGAAUAUUGGUCAAUGGGCGAGAGCCUGAACCAGCCAAGUCGCGUGAAGGAAGAAGGAUCUAUGGUUCGUAAACUUCUUUUGCAGGGGAAUAAAGUGCAGGACGUGUCCUGUUUUGUAUGUACCCUGAGAAUAAGGAUCGGCUAACUCCGUGCCAGCAGCCGCGGUAAUACGGAGGAUCCGAGCGUUAUCCGGAUUUAUUGGGUUUAAAGGGUGCGUAGGUGGUUUGAUAAGUCAGCGGUGAAAGUUUGCAGCUUAACUGUAAAAAUGCCGUUGAAACUGUCGGACUUGAGUGUAAAUGAGGUAGGCGGAAUGCGUGGUGUAGCGGUGAAAUGCUUAGAUAUCACGAAGAACUCCGAUUG